rnacentral:rRNA from 1 species
AUGCUCGCAGAUGCCUCGGACUCCGCUUCUUGGAGCCGCACUCCCUCGGGAGAUUUUUCGGUUGCCUCGGCCUAUCAUGCUCUGUGCCGUAGGCCGACUAUUACUUGGGUGGCGCCUCUAUGGAAGGCGUCACUCCCCCUGAAGGUUAAAAAUUUUGUGUGGCAAUUGCAGAGGGGUCGCCUACCUUCGGGCACAAAAGUGCUUCAGAGACAUGGCCCAUGUGAUGGGCUCUAUCCUUUGUGUGGGGUUUCAGAAACAACGACCCACAUCCUCUUCUCCUGCACGGCAACUCGGGUGUUGUGGUCCUUUGUCCGAGAUGCACUAGGACCAGACUGGGAGGUCCAGGAUCGCGUAGGCUUCCACCAGGCUAGAGCAAUUCAGGCUGAGAGGAAGAGGCGGCUAUUCUGACUUGUUUUUGCGGCUGCUUGGACUCUUUGGAUGACGCGUGAUAAGAUGGUGAUUGAGCGGGUCGUUCUCUGCCAGGCCUCUGACUCAUACAAAUUUCUUGCGUUCUUGCAGCACUGGCACCCGCUGGUUAGGCAGCGGGACUGCGGCCUUUUGUGGCGGAUGUUGGACUCACAUCAUGACACCGCUCGGUGCCUCUCUUCGCCGGCAACCACUUGA